rnacentral:rRNA from 1 species
UACGAAGGGGGCUAGCGUUGUUCGGAUUUACUGGGCGUAAAGCGCACGUAGGCGGCUUUGUAAGUUAGAGGUGAAAGCCUGGAGCUCAACUCCAGAAUUGCCUUUAAGACUGCAUCGCUUGAAUCCAGGAGAGGUGAGUGGAAUUCCGAGUGUAGAGGUGAAAUUCGUAGAUAUUCGGAAGAACAUCAGUGGCGAAGGCGGCUCACUGGACUGGUAUUGACGCUGAGGUGCGAAAGCGUGGGGAGCAAACAGG